AACAUAUUAUUUAUUCCGUUUAAAGUGAGAUUACCUUAUCUUUGUUGGACGAUAGCCAUAGUUUACUGUGGUUGCUAGGCAACCUGUUACCGGACGCGUACCGGAAAGAUACGGGCGAAAAAAAUGUUUAGGUGUCUCAGAGAGACGGGACCAUGGAUGUAUUUUACUUGUAUAAAGGAAUGCCGGUUUUUCUUCCGGCUCCAUGUGACCACCUCACCAAGUCAGACAGAUGAUGCAGCUGAACGACAGGAUGAAACCAGUAAAGUGGAGGACCACAGCACUGCGGUGGAAGACACAAGAGAAGACAUAAAAAUUGACACUGAUGUGACUCAGACACAGAGACUUCAUCAUGACCCAAACAAUCAGGGGGCCUCACAUUCCCUCAACAGUGUCCUGAAAGCUCCAGAGAUGCAUCACAGAAUCAAAACUGUAGAACAAGAUGCUUCAGUAAAUGUUGGAGAAGAUUCAAAAGACUCCUGUGAACAACAUCUGGAUGACAAGACAAAGACAGAGAAGCAGAAACAAAUAGGUGACAGAAGAACAACCUGGGCUGCACAAAAAAAUUCCCACUUGUGUGUCUUACAGUAGUGUGUCUUUUCAUUUUUUUUGGAAUACUAUCAUUACUUUUUCACCCAACCCCAAUGUAAGGAAGAAGGAUUCACUGUCUGUUCUUAUUGUGGUCCUCUACUACUCCUGCAGCUACAGAUGCUCUGCCUCUUCAAAACGUUCCUUCCGUUAAUUAUACUUUUGAGAAUUUUGAGUUUUUCACAAAUCUUUUUGUUACAG
rnacentral:lncRNA from 1 species